UCCAACGGUAGAUCAGUAAUCGGGUGGUUCUUUACAAACCAGGUUGUGUACAUGGAGACUCAAAAUAAGAGAGGAGGAGAUCAUGAAGAGUUCACAGCCGCGGAACGGAAAAUCAUGUUUAGGAGUUACAUGUAUAUGAAUGCUGUUAUCGCCUUCUUCUAUUGUGUCGGAUUGGUGGCGUUCGUCGUCUCCAAUUUUUGCCAUUUCCGUUGGGACAUGCCUCGAGUUAGAACAUUCGGCAUUGUCGAGAUGGCGGUGGCAGGCCUUUGUUUCAUCGUAUGGCACGUACUCGUAUGCGUGUUUUUUAUUUUAUCCUAUUUCAUGCAUAUUUAAUAUUUAAUAUGCAAAUUAUUUAUUGGAAUAGUAA